GAGCGGGGCGGGCUCCUGCUCGGGAAGGCAGCGCCCCGCAGACCGCGCCGCCCCUCCCCGCGGGUGGCAGCAGCAGGAACGGCGGCGGCAGCGCCAGCUUCUCACCCCCCGCCGGGCUGGGGCUCGCCGCCCUCUCUCUUGGAGGGGCCGGGACACGCGGACAAGCCGAGAGGCCAAUAAUGCAAUGGCUGGAGGACAAAAGAGCAUCAGAGUAAUUGGGUGGACAUGUUGGAUAUUAAUGAUAAUUCUGAUGGUAUGGAGUCACCACACCAGUGGACAAGGGCAAGGUAAGUUCUAAUGUUUUCUGAUAAUCAACUGUUUAUUGAUGACUGAAACAAUGUGGAGGUGAGGGCAGGACAUCUG
rnacentral:lncRNA from 1 species